rnacentral:rRNA from 1 species
GACGAAGGGGGCUAGCGUUGUUCGGAAUUACUGGGCGUAAAGCGAGUGUAGGUGGUUGUCCAAGUUGGAUGUGAAAGCCUUGAGCUCAACUCAAGAAAUGCAUUCAGGACUGGGCGACUAGAGGACCGGAGAGGAUAGUGGAAUUCCCAGUGUAGCGGUGAAAUGCGUAGAGAUCGGGAGGAACACCGGCGGCGAAGGCGGCUGCCUGGACCGGCCCUGACGCUGAGGCGCGAAAGCUAGGGGAGCAAACAGG